GGAAUAUUGGUCAAUGGGCGAGAGCCUGAACCAGCCAAGUAGCGUGGAGGAAGACGGCCCUACGGGUUGUAAACUCCUUUUAUCAGGGGAUAAAGUCCGCUACGUGUAGCGGUUUGCAGGUACCUGAUGAAUAAGGACCGGCUAAUUCCGUGCCAGCAGCCGCGGUAAUACGGAAGGUCCGGGCGUUAUCCGGAUUUAUUGGGUUUAAAGGGAGCGCAGACGGGCUGUUAAGCGUGACGUGAAAUCCGGGGGCUCAACCUUCGGCUGCGUCGCGAACUGGCGGCCUUGAGUGGACGGUAGGCAGGCGGAAUUCGUGGUGUAGCGGUGAAAUGCUUAGAUAUCACGAAGAACCCCGAUUGCGAAGGCAGCUUGCCGCAGUCUUACUGACGUUCAUGCUCGAAGGUGCGGGUAUCGAACA
rnacentral:rRNA from 1 species